UUAUCCACGGGUUUCGCUGAUACCGCACAGUCCUUUUUCAAUGUAUCUGUUCGUUGUCAACGAAACCUGCGGUUAUUG
rnacentral:pre_miRNA from 2 species